AAGUCAAUAUUAUGUGCUCUCCAUCCAUUGAUCUUACCUACUUCUAUCCUCAGAAGUAUGCAACCACUUACAUCCACCACAUUCUCGAUGUGCUACUUCUGUUCCUAGAAGUACCACCCACAUAUACGCACUACACUCUGUGUUGUUUCUAUCUUGGAGACAUACACUUAUGCCGCUCCUACACUUGGAGUACACAUUCCUCUAUUCACCCAUACACAUUCCACCAUCCACUUAGAAAAUGUUCUAUUCCUACACUAGGAGAAGACACCCUAAAAAUAUCCAUUGUCUUAUUCUACUUAUCUAAUAAAGCUCUAGUUAUUUCAACUGAUACUCCCUAUUGUUAUCAGUGCAUUAAAAGAAUUGGCUGAUCUCUAAAAAAAUGAGAAAAGAAAAGAAAGAGGACAAAAGUCCCAAUCUAAAAGAAAAAGACAGCCAAGUCCUUGU
rnacentral:lncRNA from 1 species